GAAUCCAGAGAUGGAUUUGUGCCUUCGGGAACUGUGAGACAGGUGCUGCAUGGCUGUCGUCAGCUCGUGUUGUGAAAUGUUGGGUUAAGUCCCGCAACGAGCGCAACCCUUAUCCUUUGUUGCCAGCGAUUAGGUCGGGAACUCAAAGGAGACUGCCAGUGAUAAACUGGAGGAAGGUGGGGAUGACGUCAAGUCAUCAUGGCCCUUACGACCAGGGCUACACACGUGCUACAAUGGCGCAUACAAAGAGAAGCGACCUCGCGAGAGCAAGCGGACCUCAUAAAGUGCGUCGUAGUCCGGAUUGGAGUCUGCAACUCGACUCCAUGAAGUCGGAAUCGCUAGUAAUCGUGGAUCAGAAUGCCACGGUGAAUACGUUCCCGGGCCUUGUACACACCGCCCGUCACACCAUGGGAGUGGGUUGCAAAAGAAGUAGGUAGCUUAACCUUCGGGAGGGCGCUUACCACUUUGUGAUUCAUGACUGGGGUGAAGUCGUAACAAGGUAACCGUAGGGGAACCUGCGGUUGGA
rnacentral:rRNA from 1 species